UACAGGGGGUGCGAGCGUUAAUCGGAAUUACUGGGCGUAAAGCGUGCGUAGACGGCUAUCUAAGUCGGGUGUGAAAGCCCCGGGCUCAACCUGGGAAUUGCAUUCGAGACUGAAUAGCUAGGGUACGGUAGAGGGAAGUGGAAUUUCCGGUGUAGCGGUGAAAUGCGUAGAUAUCGGAAGGAACAUCAGUGGCGAAAGCGACUUCCUGGACCAGUACCGACGUUCAGGCACGAAAGCGUGGGGAGCAAACAGG
rnacentral:rRNA from 1 species